AUUGAACGCUGGCGGCAGGCUUAACACAUGCAAGUCGAGCGAGCGGCGGACGGGUGAGUAAUGUCUGGGACACUGCCUGAUGGAGGGGGAUAACUACUGGAAACGGUCUCUAAUCCCGCAUCCCAUCAGAUGUGCCCAUAUGGGAUUAGCUAGUAGGUGGGGUAAUGGCUCCCCUAGGCGACGAUCCCUCGCUGGUCUGAGAGGAUGACCAGCCACACUGGAACGGAGACACGGUACAGACUCCUACGGGAGGCAGCAGUGGGGAAUAUUGCACAAUGGGGGCAAGCCUGAUGCAGCCAUGCCGCGUGUGUGAAGAAGGCCUUCGGGUUGUAAAGCACUUUCAGCGAGGAGGCGUUACUCGCAGAAGAAGCACCGGCUAACUCCGUGCCAGCCGCCGCGGUAAUAC
rnacentral:rRNA from 1 species